GACGAACGCUGGCGGCGUGCUUAACACAUGCAAGUCGAACGGUAAGGCCCCAGCUUGCUGGGGUACACGAGUGGCGAACGGGUGAGUAACACGUGGGUGACCUGCCCCGCACUUCGGGAUAAGCCUGGGAAACUGGGUCUAAUACCGGAUAGGACCGCACCGUGAGGGUGUGGUGGAAAGUUUUUCGGUGUGGGAUGGGCCCGCGGCCUAUCAGCUUGUUGGUGGGGUAAUGGCCUACCAAGGCGGCGACGGGUAGCCGGCCUGAGAGGGUGGACGGCCACAGUGGGACUGAGACACGGCCCAGACUCCUACGGGAGGCAGCAGUGGGGAAUAGUGCACAAUGGGCGGAAGCCUGAUGCAGCGACGCCGCGUGGGGGAUGACGGCCGUCGGGUUGUAAACUCCUUUCACCAUCGACGAAGGUUUUCUGACGGUAGAUGGAGAAGAAGCACCGGCUAACUACGUG
rnacentral:rRNA from 1 species